GGUGAGUGUUUUCUGAAGUCUUGAGAUAAAAAAAACAGAGAAAUCAGUUAGUACUGGCUUAUGUUACAGAAAUUCGAAGAUUUAAGAUUAAGAAAUAAAUGCAUGAUUUUUUUUUCUCCAGGCCAACCCGGAUGUCUUAUAAUCUACAUGUUCAUUUUAAGUCCUGACAAAAUUACAAAAGAAAAAUGCAUGUUGUAAGAUACAAAAAAAUGAAAAGGAAUAAAAGUGAUGUAAAUUGCAUGCUCUCUGACUUAUGACCUCGAAUGUACGAACACAAAAAAUCGAGCGACCUUAUAUCCACAAUAAAACCCUUUUCUCGUCCACUUGCUUUCUACAUGCCCCCUCCCAUUCCUUGAAGUAAUCCCAAUCAGCAAAGAUUUCAGUUUGGACAUGGUUUGGAAGUUUUUUUUUUAAGCGUGCUUUGGUUCUACAUUAAAACACUACAUCUUGCCGUUGAAGAGGCCAGUAUACUGUGAAUACUUGUCAAUUUAAAUGGUUCAAAGUGCUUUGAUCUUACAUAUUCAUGUAUGCAUUUUGAUUCAGGUCAUGUACAGUUUAAUAUUGGCCCAAAACUGGUGCCUCACAGAAGGUUAGAAGAGGGGAAAUUGAUAAUAAUCAGAACUGGAGCAAGUACCGAAUGAGAGUGUUUCUGCGUACAGAAUGAUAUGAUGAAUUGCGCAAGGCACAUUUAGCAGAAGAUACCUCUAACCUGGAUGACACAUCUGGAGAUGAAAGCAGGCAGCCACGAAAACGAAAGAAGCCCAGGAGAUUUUUUGUGUCGUCAGAUGACAGCGAUGAAGAUGAGAGUGAGGCACCAGGAAAAAUAAUGUUGUCCAUUGCUGCCAAAAUCUUGCCCAUCACUGCCAAAACCACCUCAUUCAUCAAAUGUCUUUCAAAUAAAGUAGUUUGCCAACCCAGCAACGAAGCAGUCCAACACCUGCUAAAGAAAUGGACCUAGCAACAAGGUGGGCCAACCUCUACACCCUUCAGAGAGAAUGUGACCCAGCAACGAGGUGGACCAACCUCGACUAUACACUUCAAAGAGAACGGGACCCAUCGCCAAGGCGGGCCAACCUCUACACUCUUCAGAGAGAAGG